AGCGCCGGGGGCGGAGCAGCCCGCCUCCCCACGCAGGCCCCGCGGCAGCCCAGGGCGGGCAACUUUCCUUCGGUGCUUUGGAACCUCUGAGAUGGUCUGAGGAAGAUGCUAACUAGAAUGCAGGUCUGAAACUCAGUGGAAACUGGAUUCUUGGGAAUGCGUCCUGCAGGUGCCAGUUUGAUUUUCCAACAAAUUACUCAGUGCUUUUGGACUCAGGAUGAUGUCAGUUGGCUCCCACUUACCUCCUGGGCUGCUAUUACAUUAUUACUAAAGCACUCGAGGUCCUAGAUGAAAGGUAUUGUAUCAGCUCAUUAUUAUUACAUAAAGAAGCAGUGACUUUAAAGUGUUUCUCUAUUGAGUUUGUAUGGCAAUCAAAUUUAACUUCUUAAAAGUUCAAGUUCAUAUAUAUUGUGUGGCUACAGACUCUUUCCUGGAUUACUUAGUUAAGUUCGGUGCUUAUGACCCAGACUAAAGGGUAAGGAGCAGAGAUUAUUAGAGGUUUGAUAAUGCAUUCAGAUAAUAUACAUUAAAGGAAAAAAUUGGUUGUAAAUUGUACCCACAAUUUGGAACAGUUAUUUCAAAAACUUGUACGUCUGUGCCAGAAUGUUUCAGACGAGUUGUUUGAAAUGCACAUUUUAUUGACAGUCAAUAACUCAACUCUUCACAAAACAGCACAUUACCUAUGUACACCUCUUUUUUUCUUUUUUUUUUUUUUUGCUUUUUGUCCCCAAAUCCCCCCAGUACAUAGCUGUGUAUUUUUAGUUGUGGGUCCUUUCUAGUUGUGGCAUGUGGGACGCCGCCUCAACGUGGCCUGAUGAGCCGUGCCGUGUCCACACCCAGGAUCCGAACCGGGGAAACCCUGGGCCACUGAGAAGGAGCACACGAACUUAACCACUCGGCCACGGGCAGCCCCUACCCAUCAUUUCUUGUGUUCCAAGGUAAUUGUUCCAGUAAUAUCUCUUCUCUUCUUGGUCUACCUAGGUUCGUGUUAUUUAUUAUUAAUGGUUUGGAAACAACAAAGGUCUAUAAAGCAAGAAGAUCCUUCUGGUCCUGGUGUGUCUUUUCACAGCACUGUUUUGCCUGAUACAAUACAUGGAAAUCACAGAGCCUGUUUUGGGGAGAGCUUGGGCUCCAGGGUUCUCAGAGCUGUCUCCAAAGCGUUGUCUGCUAUUUUCCUUCUUUGUUCUAUUCAUUCUAUUCAUUUCCAUUUUACCUUGGUUGCUUCCUUUACAGUAAAUGCUGCAAAAUCAUCAUGGCAACAGUCGCUGGAGAAAAUGUUAUAAAUAAUUUUUUAAUUAUUGUUCCCUUGUAGGCAUCUAUGCUACAAGUCUUCAAAGUUAAAGGACUGUUGUUUCAUGUUGUGUCUAGUGCACCUAAGAGAGUCUGGAAUAAAAUGUCUCAAAAUGUUUUCAAAUGUCCCCAGUUAGAGCCUUCUAAUUACCUGUAGUGUUUCCUAGCCAUGUCAGUUUGGACAUGAAAUUAAUACCUACUUUUAAAUCAGCAAAUCUGACUAAUGGGAAGAGCACAGGAACAGAUCCUCUUCACUUUGAAAUGAAAAUAAAAUGUAAUACUAAGCCAAACAGAGACACACCUGAUUCUUUUGAAACACGACCCUGGGCAUGUAAAUGGAUGGCUGCUAUGCUUGCAUCUCUGACUACGGGGUAAGGGUUGCCAUGAAGCCAGCUGUGCCCACAUUCUCUCAUGCACGAAAACACAGCCAUAGUCCAGUAAGAUCGCAUGAAGUCAUGUUAUGCCUCUUCGCUAUUAUUUACAUCAGGGCUCUAUAUUUAUAGCAAAGUAUCCGUUCACCUCGACAGCCCACCUGAGAGACUUAGCCAGCUCCAAUUGUGGUAAACACAAGUUUUGCAAAUUGAUCAAACUGAAAGCACAUCUGUGACUUGGUACACAAGCGUGCUGUGGCAUAUGGUGAGAGCCACUGAAGCAGACAUUCAAUACAUACUGGCAUGUUGUUCUGAGCAGGACAAAAAACAUGGUCUGAGGCACUCAAGCGAGUUGGACAUCCUCAUGCCUCUGAAGGAACUAAACUCAGCACUCUUGAACAUAGGCUGCAACUCCUCUCUGUCACAGCUUGGAUUUCUCUGAACUAGAGUUGUUUACAUUCCUGUAUCCCACACUAGACUGUGAGUUCCUUGUCUUUGCAUGCAGAGUACCUAAAUAAGAAUGGCAAGGAAUUUUAUCCUGGGAGUAAAUUCUAGUCUUGUGCUCGGGUGCCAUGUUGAGAAGAUUGUGGGGCUGCAUCUGGGUUUGGCAAAGUUGACUAUUAAGUGAGUCUCUGCUGAGGGCACAGAAGCGGGGGUGGGGGGGCAGGAGGGAAGGAGUACUCACCCUAGUAUCAUCUUUUAUCAACCGUGAGAGUAAAGGAGAUAAUAGUGUUAAAUGAUUGCCCAGAUGGAUAAGUAAACUUAAGAACAACACAAAGUAUCUUUAGCCAAAGAGGCAGGUAUAAUAUUAAUUAAUUUGAGGCAGCAUGAGACCAUCUAUCUUACCACUAGCCUCUAUUUUAUUGACAACGUUACUACUAAAGACAAAAGGAGAUUGGCUUAGAGCUAAACACUCCUUGUUAGGAUGCUAACUCUGCCAAUCUCAAGGAACAGUGUUUUGCCACAAUAUUUGUACCACAUUGGGAGCACUUGUGUGAGCCUGGGAUGAAAAUAGCUGGCCAGGAAAACAGCUUUGUUCCUCUCUGUCUAAGAGCUCAAUCACACCCAUCACUGUACAGGCCUGAGCUCCUUAUCUCAUUCUGGUCUUAUUUCCUGCCAAACCUGGAAACUAACAGAAAUAAAUGUUGGCUAAUCGCUCC